GAUGAACGCUGGCGGCGUGCUUAACACAUGCAAGUCGAACGGUGACGAGGAGCUUGCUCCUCUGAUCAGUGGCGAACGGGUGAGUAACACGUGGGUAACCUACCUGGAAGACAGGGAUAACGAUUCGAAAGGGUCGCUAAUACCUGAUAAUAUCCAUCUGCCGGAUGGCGGAGGGAAGAAAGGGGAAACCCGCUUUCAGAUGGGCCCGCGUCCCAUCAGCUAGUUGGUAAGGUAAAGGCUUACCAAGGCGACGACGGGUAGCCGGUCUGAGAGGAUGUACGGCCACACUGGGACUGAGAUACGGCCCAGACUCCUACGGGAGGCAGCAGUUGGGAAUCUUAGGCAAUGGACGAAAGUCUGACCUAGCGACGCCGCGUGAGGGAAGAAGGCCUUCGGGUUGUAAACCUCUGUCAUGGGGAAGAAGGAAGUGACGGUACCCAACGAGGAAGCCCUGCUAACUACGUG
rnacentral:rRNA from 1 species